rnacentral:rRNA from 1 species
GACGAACGCUGGCGGCGUGCUUAACACAUGCAAGUCGAACGAAGUGGCGAACGGGUGAGUAACGAGUAAUCAACCUGCCCUUCAGAGGGGGCCAACAGUUGGAAACGACUGCUAAUACCGAAUACUGAUGGCGGGGAUUGCGUCUGAUUAGCUAGUUGGAGGGUUAACGGCCAACCAGGGCGAUGAUCAGUAGCCGAUCUGAGAGGAUGAACGGCCACAUUGAGAGUGAUACACGGCCCAGAGUGCUACGGGAGGCAGCAGUGGGGAAUCGUCCGCAAUGGACGAAAGUCUGACGGAGCAACGCCGCGUGAGUGAUGACGGCCUUCGGGUUGUAAAGCUCGGUGAAUCGGUACGCGGUACCGGAAUAGAAAGCCACGGCUAACUACGUGCCAGCAGCCGCGGUAAUUA